rnacentral:rRNA from 1 species
UGGUGGGUAGUUUGACUGGGGCGGUCUCCUCCUAAAGAGUAACGGAGGAGCACGAAGGUUGGCUAAUCCUGGUCGGACAUCAGGAGGUUAGUGCAAUGGCAUAAGCCAGCUUGACUGCGAGCGUGACGGCGCGAGCAGGUGCGAAAGCAGGUCAUAGUGAUCCGGUGGUUCUGAAUGGAAGGGCCAUCGCUCAACGGAUAAAAGGUACUCCGGGGAUAACAGGCUGAUACCGCCCAAGAGUUCAUAUCGACGGCGGUGUUUGGCACCUCGAUGUCGGCUCAUCACAUCCUGGGGCUGAAGUAGGUCCCAAGGGUAUGGCUGUUCGCCAUUUAAAGUGGUACGCGAGCUGGGUUUAGAACGUCGUGAGACAGUUCGGUCCCUAUCUGCCGUGGGCGCUGGAGAACUGAGGGGGGCUGCUCCUAGUACGAGAGGACCGGAGUGGACGCAUCACUGGUGUUCGGGUUGUCAUGCCAAUGGCACUGCCCGGUAGCUAAAUGCGGAAGAGAUAAGUGCUGAAAGCAUCUAAGCACGAAACUUGCCCCGAGAUGAGUUCUCCCUGAGACUUUAAGUCUCCUGAAGGAACGUUGAAGACGACGACGUUGAUAGGCCGGGUGUGUAAGCGCAGCGAUGCGUUGAG